rnacentral:rRNA from 1 species
GACGAACGCUGGCGGCGUGGAUUAGGCAUGCAAGUCGGACGGUAGAGCUUUAUCGUAAGAUAGAGUUUGAGAGUGGCGAACGGGUGAGUAACACGUAGGAAUCUACCCUUAAGACGGGGACAACCCAGGGAAACUUGGGCUAAUACCGGAUGAGAGUGCGAGAGAUUGCAUUUAAAAGGAUGGCGAAAGUUGUCGCUUAGGGAUGAGCCUGCGGUCUAUUAGUUAGUUGGUGAGGUAAGAGCUCACCAAGGCGAUGAUAGAUAGGCGGCCUUAACGGGUGGUCGCCCACACUGGGAUUGAGAUACGGCCCAGACUCCUACGGGAGGCAGCAGUCGAGAAUAGUCUACAAUGGCCGGAAGGCUGAUAGUGCGACGCCGCGUGAACGAGGGAGCCUCGGGUGUAAGUUACUUUAUUAUGUGAGCAGUGCUUCUUAUAUUAACAGUAUGGGGAGGAGAGAUAUUAGCAUAUGAAUAAGACAACGGCUAACUCCGUGCC